AAGAUUUUAAACUAAACCUUAAA
rnacentral:snRNA from 1 species